rnacentral:rRNA from 1 species
UACCAGCUCUCCGAGUGGUAGGGAUGAUUAUUGGGCUUAAAGCGUCCGUAGCCGGCUUAGCAAGUCUCCUGUUAAAUUCAGCGACCUAAUCGUUGAGCCGCGGGAGAUACUACUAGGCUAGGAGGCGGGAGAGGUCAACGGUACUUCCGGGGUAGGGGUGAAAUCCUAUAAUCCCGGGAGGACCACCAGUGGCGAAGGCUGUUGACUAGAACGCGCUCGACGGUGAGGGACGAAAGCUGGGGGAGCGAACCGGAUUAGAUACCCGGGUAGUCCCAGCUGUAAACGAUGCGAGCUAGGUGUUGGGGUGGCUCCGUGCCACUUCAGUGCCGCAGGGAAGCCAUUAAGCUCGCCGCCUGGGGAGUACGGCCGCAAGGCUGAAACUUAAAGGAAUUGGCGGGGGAGCACCACAAGGCGUGAAGCUUGCGGUUC